GGCGGCGUGCCUAACACAUGCAAGUCGAACGGGGAUGGGGAGCUUGCUUCCUAUUCUAGUGGCGCACGGGUGAGUAACGCGUAGAUAAUCUGCCUGAUGAUCUGGGAUAACACUUCGAAAGGGGUGCUAAUACCGGAUAAGCCCACGAAGUCUUUGGACUUUGCGGGAAAAGGGGGGGACCUUCGGGCCUUCUGUCAUCAGAUGAGUCUGCGUACCAUUAGCUAGUUGGUAGGGUAAAGGCCUACCAAGGCUACGAUGGUUAGCUGGUCUGAGAGGAUGAUCAGCCACACUGGAACUGAGACACGGUCCAGACUCCUACGGGAGGCAGCAGUGGGGAAUUUUGCGCAAUGGGCGAAAGCCUGACGCAGCAACGCCGCGUGAGUGAUGAAGGCUUUCGGGUCGUAAAGCUCUGUCGAGGGGAAAGAAGUGUAUUGAGGCUAAUAUCCUUGAUACUUGACGGUACCCCUAAAGGAAGCACCGGCUAACUCCGUGCCAGCAGCCGCGGUAAUACGGGGGGUGCAAGCGUUGUUCGGAAUUAUUGGGCGUAAAGCGCGUGUAGGCGGUUUGAUUAGUCUGAUGUGAAAGCCCUGGGCUCAACCCAGGAAGUGCAUUGGAAACUGUCAGACUUGAAUACGGGAGAGGGUAGUGGAAUUCCUAGUGUAGGAGUGAAAUCCGUAGAUAUUAGGAGGAACACCGGUGGCGAAGGCGGCUACCUGGACCGAUAUUGACGCUGAGACGCGAAAGCGUGGGUAGCAAACAGGAUUAGAUACCCUGGUAGUCCACGCCGUAAACGAUGAGUACUAGGUGUUGCGGGUAUUGACCCCUGCAGUGCCGCAGCUAACGCAUUAAGUACUCCGCCUGGGAAGUACGGUCGCAAGACUAAAACUCAAGGAAUUGANGGGGCCCGCACAA
rnacentral:rRNA from 1 species